AACAGACGCCGUAAGGCCGCUGCUGCUUGAGCACUGUGAACAGUGGCAGCAGGCAGCCGUGUUGGACCUGUUGCAAUCCUAUUGGACACGCUUUGCGGGGGCGGCGCGUGUCACGAUACGUGCGUGGGCGAUACGGGCGGCCGAACAACAGCAUCAGCGGACGGAUGGAAAGCAGCAGGCUGGGCAGGCGGCGGAGGGCGGGAAGGGCAGCAGCACGAGCAGCCUUGGCGACAGCACAGCACAGCAGCGGCAGGCGCCACCGCCCGAGCUAGUGCUGCAGUGCUUGACGCCGCUGCCGAUGCAGCAGCUGGCAGCGGUGCACGGGCGGCAGGACAUGGUGGAUUACCUGGACGCAGUAGCUAAGGGUUUGAGAGGGGAAAUGAUGAUUGAGUGCGGCAGUGCCGGCGCCGGCGGAAGCGGCAUGGGGGUGCAAGGGCCUGCCAGCAUGGAGGGCGGCGCGUCGCACGCUAGCGCCACGGCGGAUAGGUUGAGGGCGAAGUGGGUUGGCGCCGUGCGGCCGCGGUACCCGUGGCUGUUGUCUCAAGGCCAGGCACAGGCGGGGCUGCAUGACCUGAUGGUCGCAGAGGCGGCGGCUGCAGCGGCAGCUACUGCUACGGGCGAGCCCUCAGUAGCCUGCGGCGGCGGUGGCAGCAGCGGGAGCAGUAGCAGGAGCAGUAGUGGGCAGGGCAGCAGCAGCGAUGGGCCGGUAUUUGAGCACAAGCUGUGCUACAACCCGCGCUGCUGCUCGCUGGACGGCCCCAGCGCGUUGGUUGCGCCCCGCGGCGGCAAGACGUGUGUGCGGUGCCGUGCUGCCACGUAUUGCUGCGGCGCUUGCCAGCUUGUGGACUGGCGUGAGCGGCACUCUGGCACCUGCAGUGGAGCCGCCGCGGCGGCGGCAGGGUCAGCAGGGACAGCGAAGGCAGCGCUGAAGAAGGCAUGAAUGCUACGGGCGAGCCCUCAGUAGCCUGCGGCGGCGGUGGCAGCAGCGGGAGCAGUAGCAGGAGCAGUAGUGGGCAGGGCAGCAGCAGCGAUGGGCCGGUAUUUGAGCACAAGCUGUGCUACAACCCGCGCUGCUGCUCGCUGGACGGCCCCAGCGCGUUGGUUGCGCCCCGCGGCGGCAAGACGUGUGUGCGGUGCCGUGCUGCCACGUAUUGCUGCGGCGCUUGCCAGCUUGUGGACUGGCGUGAGCGGCACUCUGGCACCUGCAGUGGAGCCGCCGCGGCGGCGGCAGGGUCAGCAGGGACAGCGAAGGCAGCGCUGAAGAAGGCAUGAACUGACGAAGUGCAACAGCAGUAUGGACCCGAAGACUGCGCUUCAAAUGCGGCGUUUUGCGGUUUGUAUGAGAGUGAGAGUGCGAUGCAUGGCGUGGACUCUUGGGUCGUUUGCCACGCCGAGCGUGCAGCAAGAAGCGCUCAAAAAGCCCAAUUGGCUCUGCUUUGCAUUAGCGCAUUACGGUUGAUGACCGCUGACGCGGGUGGUCCGCGCCUUCAUCGGCCGGGAUUACAGAGCGGACUCCACACCGAAUGUAUGAGUGCCAGACCUGCGAUGCUAAUCUUACUUCGCCAAGGCUAGCCUCCUCGCUCCUUUGAGGCUUGAUACCGUAUCAAGGUUUUGGGCAGGAGUAGGGGCAUCAUGAGCGGCGGCGGGGUAACAGGGUGGGGUACAGGCUGCAGUGUUGUUCGGGUUUGGGCGCGUUCUAGGCAUGUGGCACCCGUAUGUGGCAGAGCAAUUUGACUGUCCCCAACAUGUUUAUGUGCCCGCCGAGAAUGCUAAGCUGACGGUCUGAACUUCGCGGUUUUUGUAGUUGCACGACUGUAUGUCAUUAGAGUUUCGGCCAUUGUCGCAGGUGCAGGCGCAGUGCAGUAGAAUGCAGGGGCGUGGGCGAGGAGGAGAGGGCUGACGGACAACUGGAGGCCGUGAUGCGGCGGUAGAUACGGUAGGUACAGGACUGGGAGGCGCACCAAAUGCAUGACUGACUUACCAGUGCACGGCUGAACGCGAUGGCUACAUGUGCGGACUGCGGACGGGCUUGGAACAUCAGCUUAUGAAUGAGGGACGGUGCACUGUUGCCGACGCAUUCGGCCUAUCACGGCAUGCACUCACAUGGCAUCAUCUCGCUCUACACCGCCAGUCUUUGGUGCCACGGCAAGAGGUGGGGCCCCGGUGGAUGGGUGUGCAGGAGGGCGGGGUGGUUUGGCGGUAGGGAUGGGAGUGCGGAAGUGGACGACAAGGUCAAGCUUGCAGGAGGUGUUGUUUGCGGUAACAGCUGGAUGGUGGCAUGUUUUGUCGUUGUAAUAUGGGACAAGCAGCAUGAGGAUGCGUUGUCGAGGAUCAAGUUCACGAGCAUGCCAUCAGGUGAGUUGAACAAGAAAGGCCGUUAGUAAGGGCGUGCUAUGGCUGCUGCAAGUUGUUUCGGGUUAAGGAGGAGGGUGGCAUCCCUGGCCACUGGCGAUCCACCGGGUCACCUGCGCAAGGUAGGCGGUGGCGAGCUCCUUGUUGUUGGGGGGGGGCGGGUGGCACAGCCGCACAGCCGGUUUGGUGGUUGGAUGACGGUGGCAGUGCCGGGCCAGUUCCUGAUACCUUCCGUACUCGUGAUGAGCCGUGUGUGACAUCCGUACUCGUGAUGUUCGGUGUUUGUGUCAUAGCCUUGGGCAAACCUAACUGAGCAUUUACGUGGUUUCGAGUCCAACUCGGACACCUGCAAUUCAUCUGUGAUCUGUCAGCUGAGAGCACGCACAUGACGGACGCGGGUCUGCUGCACGUGGCGUACGGCUGCCCCGCCCUGCACAGCCUGCGCUUCAGCGCCACGGGCAUCGCCGAUUGGGGCGUGCGCCGACCGGUGGUGCUGGCAGGGCCUCUGCCCGGUGUUCGCGUCGUGGUCGCAGCAGCAGGGGCAGAAGGCUGGAGGGGCGGCGUUAAGGCGGCAGGCGCUGUGGGUGCCGAGGCACGGGCGGCUUGCAACCAGAUGGCAGCGCGCUGUUGGUUGGGACGUUGGGUUGCACUUGGGGGUGCGCUGGGUGAUAACUUUGUUGCAGGAACGGUGGUAGGCGCCUGGCGUGCGGUAUCCCGCGAGCAGCGGGUGCGCCGCGACGCGUUGACCACUCAGCCUGGCUGCGCACGCUAUGGUCAACUCGGCAUGGGGCCGUUCGACAGAGGCCAGCACACAUGCCGACGUGUAUCCGCUGUCCCCUCCCAGCUGUCCCUUCCAGUAGUCCCUUCCAGUUGUCCCUUCCAGCUGUCCCACACCAACUGUCCCACCCCAGCUGUCCCUUCGGCUCCCUUCUCAAAACGCAGCUUUCAGCAAAAUCUACAGCCUGCCCGACUCCCAGCGUGUGCGACCUUCCGCCCGCCUUCCAAAACGCAACAGCCCCCGCCUCUCCUCGCCAGCCGCUCACAGCCGAAACUCUGCUUCUUUCUUUAUCAGCCACAAACAUCAGCCACAAACAAGGCCUCGGAAACAACGCCUCGGAAACUUCCUCCCAACUAGUGCGCGGCCACAGCUCCCCUACCGAACGUCGCAGCACCUAUCCUCACCAUCAGCAACGCUUCCUCACCUCCGGUUGUGUUGUUGGCGUGUUGCACCGCAUUCGGCCUGCCCGCCACAAUUGUCGUACACAUUCGGGCCCCUCUUCUGCUUUGCUUCGCCUUGUUCCUGCCCCUGUUUGUCACACUGUCGCCCGGCCAUUGUUUUGCUGCACGCCGUUGCAUUACGCUAGUGCUCGUCUACACAGCUCAUCCGUGGACGCCGGUCGACUGCCUGCAGGUGCGCAUCGGCUAUGCUAUCCGCGCGGUGUGGCGUCGCAUUGAGUCUGUGUGGUGCUAUCGCCUUGGCCGGGCGCCCGGAGCGUGAGGAAUGCGCGUCAGCAAAACAUCGACACAACCUGCCAGCUACCGUCGGUACAGUAACAGCGCGCGAACGACGCACCAAUGCCUUGUCCCUUCUUGCUACGCAUUUAUGUGGGCACGGGUGGGAGCCACACACAUCGGGACUACGCUUUCCUGCCCCUUGCCAUGUUCCAUCACAUGCCGACGUGUAGCAGUUUGGACUUUAUUAAUAGGUUGCACUGUUGACGUGAGCUCAAGCUUUCCGCUUAGAAGAGUAGUUGCUAGCAGUGCUAGUGAAGCUGCGUAUACUGUAACUUUCCUGAAGUCGUCAAUUUUUUCUACGCUGCAUACGCACCCUCAUGAUAAUCCUGGUUGUCAUAGAACAUGCCACCUAGACGGGCUCGAGUCCCUGCAACUCUCGAGAGCCGCAUCAAGCAAGGUCUGCAAUACUUUGCUGGCCUGCGCGAGGACGAGGCAGCAGAUGUUGCCCGUGCAAAGGACCUGGGCGAUGCACUCCUUGAAGCUGACAUGAACAUUAUCAGCAAUACCGGGAUUUUGAGCGGCAUCGUGGCUGCGCAUGCCUGGGCCGCGCGUGCGCUUGCCGUUGACGUUCUGAACGACUCGGCUUACGUCGCUUUUGUAGCGACCGCAACUAAUCUAGGAGAACUGCUCAGCAGCCAGCCGGGCGACCAAGCUUACGGCAGGCAGGACCGGUUGGUCCGAGCCCUGCUGAGGGCGGACACGCUCGCCGUGCACGCGAGGCUGUGUGUACGGACGCUCGCGCCCACCCGCGGGGCCGCCGCCCGCCGCAGCCUCCGGCCACCGGAUGCAAUCAAGCGGGAUCUGGUAUGGCGUGUCCUCCAGAACCUCUCCACGAUUGCCCGAUUUGUGAACAACAGCCGGGAUGCUGGCCUCAAGCACGAGCUGGUGACGGCGCUGGCGCACACGCAGCUGCUCGAGCACGCCGCGCGGGCGCUGCUAAGCGCCGCCCAGGCCAUUCAGCCCGCAUCCAGCGAAGGAACUUCAGGGGCGGCUGCAGCUUCGGGAACGGGGCUUCCACCUGAGAGCUGGAUAACCGUGUCGGGCGUAGCAACCACAUUUGCCCACGCGCUUUCGUGCCUGGUGGGCACAGACCUGCGCACUACCGCGCUGUGCCCACGACCCCGCGAACGGGACGCAUCUGUGGAGGUGUCGCAGAAUUCGAGGCAGCUACAACUGCUGGAGCAGCUGCGGCCGCUGCUGGCCAGCCGCUGCGUGCAGCUCUGCACGGGAUGGGCGGGCCUGUGUGCGGCCAUUACCGUACGGCAGCGGGCAGCGGACGACAGCGCUCAGCAGGGCUUGGUACCAACUGCGUCGCAGCUGUGGCACGGGCUGCCGUCGGAGCUGAUACGGCCGCUGCAGCUGCCGCCGCAGGCCACUGUGUCAAGCCAGGAUAUGGUGCGCACAGCGACCCUGGUACGUAUACGGUACUCGACCGCCGAUGCGCAAGAUGGGCUGCUGCGUUAGUUGACGGGGAGCUUGACGGGGAUAUAAGUGCAUGAACUGCAAUGCUCCCGGCGGGGCUCUCCGGUAUACAAUCUAGUGUUGGCAUUACAGGAACUUAGCGUUGACAUUAGCUCGCCAUUUGCUCGCCGCCUUGCAGGCACUGCCUAUGGUCCUGCAGGUGACGGUCAGCGGCCCCUGCGACCUGGCCAUCGCCCAGCCGCCCGUGGGCUACGACCGCCUGCCGCACAGGCAGCCACAGCCGCAGCGACCAUCGGCGGGGCCAUCAGCAGCGGGGUCAGCAGCAGCGGAGGGGCCGGCUGCAGCACCAGCACCAGCUUCGUACAGCGCCGUAAACGCGUACGGGCUGCUUAAGGCAUUAUGGCACUGCCUGGCCUGUGACCGCGCCACUUACACGUGCAACCUGUGCGCAGUCGCCACGGUAAUGACCCGGCUGCUGACGGAGCUGCGGCCGCGGCAGGCGGCGGUGCUGCUGCCGAGUUGGUGGCAGCUGCUGGCGCAGGAGCCGUCCAUGCUCAUUGAGGGGUACGGGCUUGCGCAGGACGCAGGGGAGCUGCUGCGGCUGCAGUUGAAUGCGCCGCCGCCGGUCGCGUGGGCUGUUGGGGUGACGGAUGCAGCUUCCGUGGCUGCGGCGAGUGUGGACUGGCCGCCGGAAGCGGCGGAGGUGCAGGACGCGGAGGCGGCGACAGCAGCGAAGGCAGCAGCCAGCCUGGCGCGUGAGAGGGACCCCAGCUACAGCCUCCGCUGCGCGCUGGACGCGGGGCUGCUGUCAGUUAUGGAACGGUGCCUUCGCGCGCCACAGGCCUGGCGGCAGUCCAACAGCGUGAGCAAGCUGCUGUACGUCGUAAACUGCGUGCUGCGCUACUCGGGCGUGUGGCCCGCGGUGCUGGCUCGCGGUCCCGUGCAGCAGGCGGUGUCGCUGAUUGCCACGCUGGGCGCAGCAGCUCGGCUGCUGCAGGAGAAGGACACGUCACUGGACGUGAUAAGCCGUGCCUCCCAGCCUGGCAUGCAAACAACGGCAAGGUGCGGCGCCGGCGGCUACCUGUGUGCCUACCUGUCCGCAAUGCUGGAGCAGGUCGUGGACGUGCGGGCGCUGGGCGAGGGCGCACAGCAGCAGCAGCAGCGGGAGGAGCAGCAGGCAGCAGCUAUCGAUGCUACGGCCACAGCCGCAAUUUCCACCCCACUGCACCUCAACUCGGUGCUGGAGCAGGUAGUGGAUUCGAAGGACGGCAGUGUCGAGCCCUCCACGUGCUCCAUCGCCUGGAUGGCGGCGGCGGGCGGCCUGCCAGCUGCCGGCUCCACAGCGUACCGGCAGCAGCAGCUGCUCACGAGCUUCGCGGUGUACCAGUGGCUGCCCAUGCUGGCAAAGGCAACGGAGGAUGCCUUGUGGAGUAGUGAGGCGGGCGCCGAGGGCUGGCUGUCGCAGGCGCUCCUGGUGGGGCACCUGGUGAUGGAUGUGCUCUGGCGCGAGGAGCGCCCGCCAGCUGAAGCCGACGAGGGCGCUGGCUCACACAACCGACGACAGGACGCGGCGUGGUGGGAGGGCGUGACGCAGACUGGCCAGCUUGCGAAGAGCAUGCACAAUAUUAUGGACGUGCUGGCAACAGACGCCGUAAGGCCGCUGCUGCUUGAGCACUGUGAACAGUGGCAGCAGGCAGCCGUGUUGGACCUGUUGCAAUCCUAUUGGACACGCUUUGCGGGGGCGGCGCGUGUCACGAUACGUGCGUGGGCGAUACGGGCGGCCGAACAACAGCAUCAGCGGACGGAUGGAAAGCAGCAGGCUGGGCAGGCGGCGGAGGGCGGGAAGGGCAGC
rnacentral:lncRNA from 1 species